GCACAAGCGGUGGAUGAUGUGGAUUAAUUCGAUGCAACGCGAAAAACCUUACCUGCCCUUGACAUGUCCGGAAUCCCGAAGAGAUUUGGGAGUGCUCGCAAGAGAACCGGAACACAGGUGCUGCAUGGCUGUCGUCAGCUCGUGUCGUGAGAUGUUGGGUUAAGUCCCGCAACGAGCGCAACCCUUGCCAUUAGUUGCUACGAAAGGGGCACUCUAAUGGGACUGCCGGUGACAAACCGGAGGAAGGUGGGGAUGACGUCAAGUCCUCAUGGCCCUUAUAGGUGGGGCUACACACGUCAUACAAUGGCCGGUACAGAGGGUAGCCAACCCGCGAGGGGGAGCCAAUCCCACAAAGCCGGUCGUAGUCCGGAUCGCAGUCUGCAACUCGACUGCGUGAAGUCGGAAUCGCUAGUAAUCGCGGAUCAGCAUGUCGCGGUGAAUACGUUCCCGGGUCUU
rnacentral:rRNA from 1 species